UCAAAACUGAAUCGAAAAUGCAAGACUUGCUUUAAUUGUUUUCCUUCAAUUUCUUUCUGUAUUAUUUACUAUAAUGGAACUCAUGUUAUUUACACUGUGCUAGAUCAAUACAUAAAACACUGACAGAAAACAAUUAAAGCAAGUCUUGCAUUUUCGGUUCAGUUUCGA
rnacentral:miRNA from 1 species